UACGUAGGGUGCAAGCGUUGUCCGGAAUUAUUGGGCGUAAAGAGCUCGUAGGCGGUUUGUUGCGUCGGCUGUGAAAUCCCGAGGCUCAACCUCGGGUCUGCAGUCGAUACGAGCAAACUAGAGUGUUGCAGGGGAGACUGGAAUUCCUGGUGUAGCGGUGAAAUGCGCAGAUAUCAGGAGGAACACCGGUGGCGAAGGCGGGUCUCUGGGCCGUAACUGACGCUGGAGGAGCGAAAGCAUGGGGAGCGAACAGG
rnacentral:rRNA from 1 species